rnacentral:tRNA from 1 species
UCCCUGGUGGCUCAGAUGGUAAAGAGUCUGCCUGCAGUGCAGGAGACCCAGGUUUGAUCCCUGGAUUGGGAA